GACAGAGGGUGCAAACGUUGUUCGGAAUUACUGGGCGUAAAGCGCGUGUAGGCGGCUAAGUAAGUCGGGCGUGAAAUCCCACGGCUCAACCGUGGAAGUGCACUCGAAACUGCAUAGCUAGAGUCCUGGAGAGGAAGGUGGAAUGCUUGGUGUAGAGGUGAAAUUCGUAGAUAUCAAGCGGAACACCGGUGGCGAAGGCGGCAUCCUGGACCGGCAUUGACGCUGAGGCGCGAAAGCUAGGGGAGCAAACGGG
rnacentral:rRNA from 1 species